UGGGGAGAGAUUAGUGUGCGGUCCAACCUUAGAUCCACCUUGGCUUUAUCAGCAUGUUCUUUCGUAAUUCACCGGCUGUUUUCCUACAGGAAUUGUGCCCCUUUCGUAAAUCUAAAGUUCUAUGUAUUAGCUACAUCCAGCGCUGCUUGAUAUACUUGGCAAAGCGUUUUUGUGCAGCAGUUUUCACUUGAACAAUGGCUGGAAACUGAAAGGCCUCACUCCUCGCUACUUAAAGUGAAAGAAACUUGCCCCAGAAAGACGCCUGAUCAGGCUGAGAAUCCAGGGUCCGAGCUCUGGGCCGCCCGGCUGAAGUUUCAUCCCCAAAUUUCACCCUACUGUCACUUUAGCUUAAGGCCUUCGAAUUAUCUUCGGUGGUGGGAAGCUCUUUUUAGUUGCUAUUUAAGCAACUUUAGUAACAAUAUGGAAGCCAAGUUUCGAUCCACUGAGAUGUGCUCCUUGGUAAGAAUGAAAUAUACGACCGAACAGAGUUUACAGCUGUGAUCUGUGGACUUGGAGCUGGAGUUUGCGCAGGAGAGUGAAAAAAAAAAAAAAAAAAAAAAAACAGACUUGUAGCCCUUUAUUCCCCAAGUGCCAAGGUAUUUUAAAAGAGAAUGAAAAGAGCAGCUCCAGAUAAUUUGAAAGGGCUCCAUUUAAGGCUGUCUGCAAUCUAAACGCUUUUGGAAUGGAUAAACAGAUUACAACUCUGCACUCAGGCUUGGUGAUUGAGCUUUUUAAAAUUCAGCAUAUGUAGAUUUUCAGAGUCCAUGAAAAUGUAUGAAACUCAGUACUGCCAAGCAUGCUUUAUAAUGUUACUGGCUUUCUGGAAGCAUUUCUGCAAUAAUUGAUACACUCAAAUGAUGACACCAAACUGACUUUCCUGGGCAGAUGACCUGUGUCCUGGAACCCCACCUCCCCAGAGCUCUAUCCCACUGAGGGAAGAUAGAAACAGGCUGGGAAUAUGGAUCAAUCUGUCAGUGCUCAUGUCCAGCGGAGAAGCAAUUACAGAAACUAGACCUCCUACCUUCUGCACCCCAUAAAGAUCUUUGGUCAUGGUGCAGGAGGUGGCGCAGUGGAUAAAGCACUGGACUCUCAAGCAUGAGGUCGUGUGUUUGGUCCCUGGCAGCCAUGUACCAGAGUGAUGUCUGUUUUAUUCUCUAUCCUCCUAUCUUUUUCAUAAGUAAAUAAAAUCUUUUAAAAAAUUAAAAAAAAAAAAAAACAACUUUGGUCCAUACCUCCAGAGGGAUAAAGAUAGGGAAGCUUCCAAUGGAGAGAAGAGGAUACAGAACUCUGGUGGUGGGAAUUGUGUGGAAUUGUAUCCCUCUUAUCCCACAGUCUUAUUGAUCAUUAUUAAAUCACCAGCAAAAAAUUUUUAAAAAAUUUUAAAUUGAAAAAAUAUUUCUAGCUGAACAAUAGUAACAUCUGUAAAUGGAGCUAAUGUAGUACUUAAUAUGGAGAGCCUUCAUUAACUACAUGGUGAGCACAAUUAAAGGCAGAAGAGGGAAAUAAUGUUAAAAAUAGAAAUGAAUGAAGGGAAAUACAGGUGGUAGGUCAGAUAUUGCCUAUACUGGCUCAAGAAAGCUAACUAUUUGCA